GCUCCGAUGGCCUAGUGGGUUGAACGUCCGCCUCAAAUGCGGGAGGUCACUGGUUCGAACCCAGACUGAAUCA